UCUGGCUGCUUUCCGCAGGCGUCUGGGGGACUGAAUGGUCAUCAUGUAACAAUAUCUUUCCAUCAGAGGUUGUGCGCUAUCAGUUCAUUCAUCCCAGAGUUCAUUCAAGCCAUUCAUGCCAUAGACACUUGGGAGUUCCUUGACUGUACCCAGCACUGUGUCACAAGAUGAAGCUACACAUCCUCUCCAGGAGCAGAUUCCAUCUCAAGAAACCACUUUCAUUGCUCAUCCAUAAGAAGCCACUCUUCUGUGAAAGUUUCAUCAUGAAAUUGCAGGAAUUCAGUCACAUCUUCAGGUUCUACUUCUGCUAUUUCUCCCACAUCUGCAGUGACUUCCUCCACUGAAACUUGAACGCUUCAGUUAUCUGGGAGGGUUGGACUCAACUUCUUUCCAACCUCCUGUUUAUGGUGAUAUUUUGACCUCUUCCCAAGAAUCACGAAUGUUCUUGAUAGCAUCAAGAAUGGUGAGUCCUUGCCAGAAAGUUUCAAUUGACUUUGCCCAGAUCGCCAGAGGACUCACUAUCUACGGCAGCUCUGGCCUUAUGAAAUGUAUUUCAGUAAUAAGACUUGAAAGUCAAAGCUACUCCUGGUCCAUGCUGCAGAAUGGAUGUUGUGUCAGCAGGCAUGAGAGCAACGUGAAUCUCACUGUCCAUCUCCAUCAGAGCUCUGGUGACCAGGAAUUUCUUAGAGUUAUUUGUGCAGGCGAGAUGCCUACAUGUAACUGACAAAGAAAAGACUGAAGGCAACUGCUUCACUAUGUGUGUGAGACAUUCCUCAAAUGAGAAACGAG